UUCUGGGUUGUAAACUGCUUUGUCAGGGGAUAAAAUUUCCUUGCGAGGAAAAUUGAAGGUACCUGGCGAAUAAGCCACGGCUAACUACGUGCCAGCAGCCGCGGUAAUACGUAGGUGGCGAAGCGUUGUCCGGAUUUAUUGGGUUUAAAGGGUGCGUAGGCGGCCUAUUAAGUCAGUAGUGAAAUAUCACAGCUCAACUGUGAGGGUGCUAUUGAUACUGAUGGGCUUGAGUACAGAUGAGGUAGGCGGAAUUGACGGUGUAGCGGUGAAAUGCAUAGAUAUCGUCAAGAACACCGAUAGCGAAGGCAGCUUACUAAGUUGUAACUGACGCUGAUGCACGAAAGUGUGGGGAUCAAACAGGAUUAGAUACCCUGGUAGUCCACACUGUAAACGUUGAUAACUCGCUGUGUGCGAUAUACAGUACGCGGCCAAGCGAAAGCGAUAAGUUAUCCACCUGGGGAGUACGCCGGCAACGGUG
rnacentral:rRNA from 1 species